AGAAUAGAAUAACUGGGUCAAAUGGUGGUUCCAUUCCAUGUUUUCUAAGAAAUCUCCAUACUGCUUUCCAGAGUGAUUGCACCAAAUAUGAGGGCAAUCCAGCUGCAAAAUCUAUCACCCCAUUAGGACCACCUUCCCCAGCAGAGGAGGACCAUUCUUUGGUCAAGUGUAUACAAGUAGCUGCACUUUCCUGCUAGAACCUCCAAACAAGCUCUCAAGGCCCAAAGUGGUUGCACCAAUUUGCAGUUCCACCAGCAAUGUAUGAGCAUACCUUUUUUUUCCAU
ensembl:misc_RNA 7SK 7SK RNA